CUGUAUUAACCGAGAAAUGCUGCUCUCGGGUUUGGGCUGUUGGGUGGUCAGGUACCAGUACGGCAUUGGCCGAGUACCGGUACGCCGCACUGUUUCUGCUUGGCCGAGGCUCGAGUUGGCAGUUUUGUUGAACUGGUACAGGUACUCUUGCCCGCGUACCGAUACGCAGUGUAAAAACUGCAGUUCGUGCAGUUUGUGAUUUUUGGUGUUUUGAGAGAUUUUUUGGGAAUUGUUACAACAUGUUAUAUAACCCCCUCAUCUC
rnacentral:lncRNA from 1 species